GAGACAGCAAUUUUGACAGCAGCAAGAAAUGGCAUAGUUGAAAUAGUGGAUGAGCUUAUAACAAAAAUACCAAGUUCAAUAUACGAAGUUAGCUUGGAAAACAAAAAUGUGUUACUGGUAGCAGUUGAGAACAGAAGAACCAUUAUUGUUGAGGCAUUAAGGAAACGGUUUGAAGAGUGUAAUAAGAAAGCGAUAUUCGAUAACUUAAUCCAAGGUGAGGAUAUGGAAGAGAACACUGUGUUACAUUUAGCAGCAACAAGAAGCGAUCAAGAUUGGCACAUUUCUGGAGCUGCCUUGCGAAUGAUGUGGCAUAUAAAAUGGUUUCAGUACACAAAAGGACUAGUGCCAGAGCAUUUCACAGUUAGAACAAACAAAAAAGACAAAACUGCACGGGAAUUAUUCAAGAAAUCAUAUUCAACACUAGUA